AGCAAAUAGAUACCCCGGUAGUCCACGCCCUAAACGAUGUCUACUAGUUGUUGGUGGAGUAAAAUCCAUGAGUAAACGCAGCUAAACGCGUGAAGUAGACCGCCUGGGGAGUACGGUCGCAAGAUUAAAACUCAAAGGAAUUGACGGGGGCCCGCACAAGCGGUGGAUUAUGUGGAUUAAAUUCGAUGCAACGCGAAAAACCUUACCUGGCCUUGACAUGCCACUAACGAAGCAGAGAUGCAUUAGGUGCCCGUAAGGGAAAGUGGACACAGGUGCUGCAUGGCUGUCGUCAGCUCGUGUCGUGGGAUGUUGGGUUAAGUCCCGCAACGAGCGCAACCCUUGCCAUUAAUUGCCAUCAUUUAGUUGGGCACUUUAAUGGGACUGCCGGUGACAAACCGGAGGAAGGUGGGGAUGACGUCAAGUCCUCAUGGCCCUUAUGGCCAGGGCUUCACACGUAAUACAAUGGUCGGUACAGAGAGUUGCCAACCCGCGAGGGGAGCUAAUCUCAGAAAGCCGAUCGUAGUCCGGAUUGUUCUCUGC
rnacentral:rRNA from 1 species